ensembl:lncRNA
UUGUGGGUAGUGUUCUACCAGGUCUUUUUUCCUCUGUGUUUGUGGGUAGUGUUCUACCAGGUCUUUUUUCCUCUGUGUUUGUGGGUAAUGUUCUACCAGGUCUUUUUUCCUCUGUGUUUGUGGGUAGUGUUCUACCAGGUCUUUUUUCCUCUGUGUUUGUGGGUAAUGUUCUACCAGGUCUUUUUUCCUCUGUGUUUGUGGGUAGUGUUCUACCAGGUCUUUUUUCCUCUGUGUUUGUGGGUAAUGUUCUACCAAGUCUUUUUUCCUCUGUGUUUGUGGGUAAUGUUCUACCAGGUCUUUUUUUCCUCUGUGUUUGUGGGUAAUGUUCUACCAGGUCUUUCUGCUGGCGAAAAUCACAUUUGCUACAUGGCUGACUCUCAAUGAAUUAUUUCACAUUUCACUUACUUACCUUUUUAAAGGUUAAUCUAUUCUACGUCAAAGGAACAUUUCACAGCUACAAAUGAACGGUCCCCCUUCUUCUAACUAACUCUAAAGGCGUGGAGCAUUGGGGUGCUUAAAAACUCAAUUUCAAACUUCAUAACUUAACCAUUCUGCAGCAUAUCUGAAUGCACACGGAUCGCCAGGCGACUGAUUUUCUUUGCAUUUACAUAUGGACUAUUUUUAAUUGAGCAGAAACUGCUGUGUAAAACAGUGCUGAACUAAUACUGGGGCUGAAAUAUCAUUACACUGAUGGAAGCCGGCCUCUAUGACUUUUAUUGGCAGCAUGCAGAAUAAAUGUUCAAUCCAGACACAUCCAUGGCUGCAGAGGCAGAGUAAUCGACUUUUCAGACAAAAUGGUGUGGAAAAUGACGUGUUAUGCCUAAAUCCAACCUGGUGCACAAAUGGACACAGUAUCAGUCAGAUGCACACCAGCAUUGGCUUUUUCACAGAUGUGAUUGGGCAGAUGAUACUGGAGGACUGAUGUGCUGGACCAGUGCUUCAGAUGAAAUGACCAUUUUCAACCAUGUCAUCUAGUUCCAAAAAUGUCUGCACAUUUUGUUCUGUCUAAAUAAAAUGAUGGUUCGGGUCCAAAAUGUUGCUGCAUGAUAUACUCGCAUUAUCUUCCCACACACACAUCAACAAUCCCACAGGAAUUGGAAAUUCACCAUGAUACAUGCAAAUCAAGUAAGAUUUAAGAAGAGGUGAAAUUGAAAAUAUAGAGAUUUAACACACAUUUUUGAAUACAAGAAAUGUGAAUAUUAAUGAUGUAUGAAUAUGAAAAAUAGAGUGCUCCCCCUAGUCUAAAUGUAACGUACAAGUAUAGCACACUGUAUAUCUCUGUAUUAGUGAUGCAGAAGUUUGGCCACAGACAUUUAGAAUUCUCUCCCAAGGAACAGCAGCUCGCCUCGGUCCUUUUUCCAAACAGAUAUCCCAG